rnacentral:rRNA from 1 species
AGAGUUUGAUCCUGGCUCAGAACGUACGCUGGCGGCACGCCUUAUACAUGCAAGUCGAACGGAGUAGCAAUACUUAGUGGCAGACGGGUGAGUAACAUGUGGGUAUCUUCCCUUUGGUGAGGAAUAACACGAGGAAACUUGUGCUAAUACCUCAUAAGUCUUUACGGAGAAAGCUUUAUGCGCCAAUGGAUGAGCCCGCACUUGAUUAGUUUGUUGGUGGGGUAAUGGCCUACCAAGACUGUGAUCAAUAGCUGAUUUGAGAGGAUGAUCAGCCACAUUGGGACUGAGACACGGCCCAAACUCCUACGGGAGGCAGCAGUAGGGAAUCUUGCACAAUGGAGGAAACUCUGAUGCAGCGAUGCCGCGUGAGUGAAGAAGGCCUUUGGGUUGUAAAGCUCUUUCGUCGGGGAAGAAAAUGACUGUACCCGAAUAAGAAGGUCCGGCUAACUUCGUGCCAGCAGCCGCGGUAAUACGAAGGGACCUAGCGUAGUUCGGAAUUACUGGGCUUAAAGAGUUCGUAGGUGGUUAAAAAAGUUGGUGGUGAAAUCCCAGAGCUUAACUCUGGAACUGCCAUCAAAACUUUUUAGCUAGAGUAUGAUAGAGGAAAGUGGAAUUUCUAGUGUAGAGGUGAAAUUCGUAGAUUUUAGAAAGAAUACCAAUUGCGAAGGCAGCUUUCUGGAUCAUUACUGACACUGAGGAACGAAAGCAUGGGUAGCGAAGA